AGCGCGGGGCAACCUGGCGGCGAGUGGCGAACGGGUGAGUAAUAUAUCGGAACGUACCCAGAAGUGGGGGAUAACGUAGCGAAAGUUACGCUAAUACCGCAUACGAUCUACGGAUGAAAGUGGGGGACCUUCGGGCCUCAUGCUUUUGGAGCGGCCGAUAUCUGAUUAGCUAGUUGGUGAGGUAAAGGCUCACCAAGGCGACGAUCAGUAGCUGGUCUGAGAGGACGACCAGCCACACUGGAACUGAGACACGGUCCAGACUCCUACGGGAGGCAGCAGUGGGGAAUUUUGGACAAUGGGCGCAAGCCUGAUCCAGCAAUGCCGCGUGAGUGAAGAAGGCCUUCGGGUUGUAAAGCUCUUUUGUCAGGGAAGAAACGGUCCAGGCUAAUACCCUGGGCUAAUGACGGUACCUGAAGAAUAAGCACCGGCUAACUACGUGCCAGCAGCCGCGGUAAUACGUAGGGUGCAAGCGUUAAUCGGAAUUACUGGGCGUAAAGCGUGCGCAGGCGGUUUUGUAAGUCUGACGUGAAAGCCCCGGGCUCAACCUGGGAAUUGCGUUGGAGACUGCAAGGCUUGAAUCUGGCAGAGGGGGGUAGAAUUCCACGUGUAGCAGUGAAAUGCGUAGAGAUGUGGAGGAACACCGAUGGCGAAGGCAGCCCCCUGGGUCAAGAUUGACGCUCAUGCACGAAAGCGUGGGGAGCAAACAGGAUUAGAUACCCUGGUAGUCCACGCCCUAAACGAUGUCUACUA
rnacentral:rRNA from 1 species